ACGGAGGGUGCGAGCGUUGUCCGGAAUCACUGGGCGUAAAGGGCGCGUAGGUGGCACGGUCAGCGUGUGGUGAAAGCCUGGGGCUCAACCCCGGGUCGGCCAUGCGAACUGCCGGGCUUGAGCACUGUAGAGGCAGACGGAAUUCCUGGUGUAGCGGUGAAAUGCGCAGAUAUCAGGAGGAACACCAGUGGCGAAGGCGGUGGUCUGGGCCGGUACUGACGCUGUAGAGCGAAAGCGUGGGGAGCGAACAGGA
rnacentral:rRNA from 1 species